ACAGGGGCUCUUUUUUUUUUUUUUUUUAAUCUACACUGGUAUAGAAUAGUUUCAAUGCUUUUUUAUUCACUUUUUUAUCCUGUGCUUACCAAACAGGUUCUGCCUUUGUAAAUUCUCUUUUUAAACCUAGUUUUUAAUCAAUUUAAAUGCUUUUUUCUUAGUAUCCCUUUAGUUUUUGGCCGUGUGCUUACUAAACAGGUUUUCUUUAGUAAAUUCCCCUUUUAAACCUAGUUUUUAAUGUUUUUAAUGCUUUUUUCUUAACCUAUAUUGGUAUUCAAUAGUUUCAAUGCCUUUUUAUUCACCUUUUUUCCCCUGGGCCUCCCAAACAUGUUUUACCUUUCCCUUUUUCAAUCUAGUUUUCAAUGUUAUUUAACUCUUUUCUUAAACUAGCCCUUCAAAUAUUUCCUUUUUUUUAAGUUUUAUCUUUCUGUUCUUUCAUAACCAGCCUCUUUUCUUCAAUAAGUUACCUCUCUUCUUUCAUAUUUCCUUUUUUUCCUCUAAACUUUGCUCAAACUUUCUUUUUUCCUCUUAACACUCUCUCACACUCUUUUUUCAACCUUUUUCUUUCCAUGUACCCAAGCAAAAACAUAUACAACACUUCCCCAUGUCAAACACACACACACACACGUUUUUUCAAAAUGGCCGAUGGCACCACACUUUCCUGCCAACGGAAACGGGGGAUGGGAAGGCAGGACAUACGCCCUAAAAGGGGUGUGGAAACCUGUCAAAAUUGCAUGGUGAUGAAUACUAUCGAGUCUAUUACUACUAACCUGCUGUCAGCAGAGUGGAG